rnacentral:rRNA from 1 species
GGGGCGCGGCUUACACAUGCAAGUCGAGCGCACUCUUCGGAGUGAGCGGCGGACGGGUUAGUAACGCGUGGGAACGUGCCCUUCUCUAAGGAAUAGCCACUGGAAACGGUGAGUAAUACCUUAUACGCCCUUCGGGGGAAAGAUUUAUCGGAGAAGGAUCGGCCCGCGUUAGAUUAGAUAGUUGGUGGGGUAAUGGCCUACCAAGUCUACGAUCUAUAGCUGGUUUUAGAGGAUGAUCAGCAACACUGGGACUGAGACACGGCCCAGACUCCUACGGGAGGCAGCAGUGGGGAAUCUUGGACAAUGGGCGCAAGCCUGAUCCAGCCAUGCCGCGUGAGUGAUGAAGGCCUUAGGGUCGUAAAGCUCUUUCGCCAGAGAUGAUAAUGACAGUAUCUGGUAAAGAAACCCCGGCUAACUCCGUGCCAGCAGCCGCGGUAAUACGGAGGGGGUUAGCGUUGUUCGGAAUUACUGGGCGUAAAGCGCACGUAGGCGGAUCAGAAAGUAUAGGGUGAAAUCCCAGGGCUCAACCCUGGAACUGCCUUGUAAACUCCUGGUCUUGAGUUCGAGAGAGGUGAGUGGAAUUCCGAGUGUAGAGGUGAAAUUCGUAGAUAUUCGGAGGAACACCAGUGGCGAAGGCGGCUCACUGGCUCGAUACUGACGCUGAGGUGCGAAAGUGUGGGGAGCAAACAGGAUUAGAUACCCUGGUAGUC